UACGAAGGGUGCAAGCGUUAAUCGGAAUUACUGGGCGUAAAGGGUGCGUAGGUGGUUGGGUAAGUUUGAUGUGAAAGCUCUGGGCUCAACCCAGAAAUGGCAUUGAAUACUAUCCAACUAGAGGAGUGGAGGGGGGACUGGAAUACUUGGUGUAGCAGUGAAAUGCGUAGAUAUCAAGUGGAACACCAGUGGCGAAGGCGAGUCCCUGGACACUUCCUGACACUGAGGCACGAAAGCUAGGGGAGCAAACAGG
rnacentral:rRNA from 1 species